UACGUAGGGACCAAGCGUUGUUCGGAUUUACUGGGCGUAAAGGGCGCGUAGGCGGCGCGGUAAGUCACUUGUGAAAUCUCUGAGCUUAACUCAGAACGGCCAAGUGAUACUGCAGUGCUAGAGUGUGGAAGGGGCAAUCGGAAUUCUUGGUGUAGCGGUGAAAUGGCGUAGAUAUCAAGAGGAACACCUGAGGUGAAGACGGGUUGCUGGGCCAACACUGACGCUGGAGACGCGAAAGCGUGGGGAGAAACAGG
rnacentral:rRNA from 1 species